CUGGGUGGAUUAGGUGGCGAACGGGUGAGUAACACGCUGAGUAACCUGCCCUUGACUCUGGGAUAAGCGUUGGAAACGACGUCUAAUACCGGAUACGAGCUUCCACCGCAUGGUGAGAUUGCUGGAAAGAAUUUUGGUCAAGGAUGGACUCGCGGCCUAUCAGCUUGUUGGUGAGGUAACGGCUCACCAAGGCGACGACGGGUAGCCGGCCUGAGAGGGUGACCGGCCACACUGGGACUGAGACACGGCCCAGACUCCUACGGGAGGCAGCAGUGGGGAAUAUUGCACAAUGGGCGAAAGCCUGAUGCAGCAACGCCGCGUGAGGGACGACGGCCUUCGGGUUGUAAACCUCUUUUAGCAGGGAAGAAGCGAAAGUGACGGUACCUGCAGAAAAAGCACCGGCUAACUACGUGCCAGCAGCCGCGGUAAUACGUAGGGUGCAAGCGUUGUCCGGAAUUAUUGGGCGUAAAGAGCUCGUAGGCGGUUUGUCGCGUCUGCUGUGAAAUCCCGAGGCUCAACCUCGGGUCUGCAGUGGGUACGGGCAGACUAGAGUGCGGU
rnacentral:rRNA from 1 species